UACGUAGGGGGCAAGCGUUGUCCGGAAUUAUUGGGCGUAAAGAGCGUGUAGGCGGUCCGGUAAGUCAGCUGUGAAAGUCAAGGGCUCAACCCUUGAAUGCCGGUUGAUACUGUCGGGCUAGAGUCCGGAAGAGGCGAGUGGAAUUCCCGGUGUAGCGGUGAAAUGCGUAGAUAUCUGGAGGAAUACCGGUGGCGAAGGCGGCAUCCUGGACUAUUACUGACGCUGAGGCGCGAAAGCUAGGGGAGCAAACAGG
rnacentral:rRNA from 1 species